UCAUGAAGAAAUUCCUUCAUUACACGUUUACUACACCCUGCUGUGGGUUGUUCUCACUGCUGUGUUGGUGCUGCAAUUUCUGGUGUUGGGACUACUUUACUGGAAGAUGAAGCUAGUGUUAUUACAGAUCAAAAUGAAUGAUCAAAACAAAGGGCAGUGUGGUGUUGCCAAGAAUCUGAAGAGAGACACUGAAACUGCCGCUGAUAAUUUGAGCCUCGAGACAAACAAAGUCACAAACCCACAGACACAAAAAGUUUCUUUUCCAGAUAAAGAUGAACCCUCCUUUCACACAUUACACUCUACUUUCAUUGACAACAAUACUCUGCAGCCUAUAUAUGGU